AUACGAAGGGGGCUAGCGUUGUUCGGAAUUACUGGGCGUAAAGCGCACGUAGGCGGAUUGAUUCGUUAGGGGUGAAAUCCCGAGGCUCAACCUCGGAACUGCCUCUAAAACUGUCAAUCUCGAGACCGGAAGAGGUGAGUGGAACUCCUAGUGUAGAGGUGGAAUUCGUAGAUAUUAGGAAGAACACCAGUGGCGAAGGCGGCUCACUGGUCCGGUACUGACGCUGAGGUGCGAAAGCGUGGGGAGCGAACAGGAUUAGAAACCCUAGUAGUCC
rnacentral:rRNA from 1 species